AUUGAACGCUGGCGGAAUGCUUUACACAUGCAAGUCGAACGGCAGCACGGGGCAACCUGGUGGCGAGUGGCGAACGGGUGAGUAAUACAUCGGAACGUGCCCAAUCGUGGGGGAUAACGUAGCGAAAGCUACGCUAAUACCGCAUACGAUCUACGGAUGAAAGCGGGGGAUCGCAAGACCUCGCGCGAAUGGAGCGGCCGAUGGUAGAUUAGGUAGUUGGUGGGAUAAAAGCUUACCAAGCCGACGAUCUGUAGCUGGUCUGAGAGGACGACCAGCCACACUGGGACUGAGACACGGCCCAGACUCCUACGGGAGGCAGCAGUGGGGAAUUUUGGACAAUGGGCGCAAGCCUGAUCCAGCCAUGCCGCGUGCAGGAUGAAGGCCUUCGGUUGUAAACUGCUUUGUUACGGACGAAAAAGACUCUCUCUAAUACAGGGGUGAAUGACGGUACCGUAAGAAUAAGACACCGGCUAACGUACGUGCCAGCAGCCGCGGUAA
rnacentral:rRNA from 1 species